rnacentral:tRNA from 1 species
UGUUCUGUGGCUGAGUUGGUUAAAGCGCCGGUCUAGCGAAUACGGAUUCGUGGGUUCAAAUCCCACCAGAACGC